AAUCUACUGGUUGUUUGUCUAGAGAGUUUAACGCCGCGAAUCUGGAGCCAGCCAGAUUUCCUUCCGCAACUUUCGCCUUCUGAUUUCGUUUUCCAGCCUGAUUGCGCCUUGAUUUGCGCUGGACUACCAUCCACGGACCAAAGGCGUCUGCCGCCGCCGCCGCCGGAUCUGCUUCCUUGUCCAUCGCCUUAGGUGAGUCCUCCUUACCACCGUGUAUGUUCCGAUCUGUCAAAGAAGAAAAACAAGAGCUUUUUAGAUGGCCAUAGUUGCCACAAGAAAAACAUACCGUGGGAAGAGCUUCGAAUUCCACCCGUUGCAUCCUGCCGUUGAUCGAGACUUGCGAGAAAUCCCGGCAGUCCUGGAAAGCGGAUCCAAGCCAUAACCACGCUAGGAAAAGGUCUCAACGGGUCAAAAUCAAUCGUCCAUGGCUGAACGGUUAGGUAGUGUCCAAACACUAUCCAAGGGCCUUGAGUCAGAGCCACUGGAAUCGGACAAGGUAAUAACCAUUCUCGAUGUCCAUCAGGCGAAAAGGUUGAGAGGGUUUCCAAAGGCUUGAAAUGCGAUUGAGUAACACUCCGUAGCCUAUGUUACGUCCCAACAACUUGACGACAACAGUAGUCUCCAUAUCUCUAACCAAAAUAUUCCUUAAUCGUUCCGAGAAAUCAAUGGCGGGGAUUCCAUUAAUGGAGGAUUGAAGAAUGUCACCAUCUUCAAUUACAAGGUCCACAUCAGAGGUGCCAUCACAUGAUUCAGAACCAUUCCUUCCCAAAAGCUUCUCUUUCCAAGAAACUCCUCUCACUGAAAUUGUGUCUACCAUCAUGUUAUCCGUUGAAUCCCCUCCCACCACUUUAAACCUGACCUUUUUGGUGUUACGCUCCUCAUCAGUGCUAAUUCCGUCACCAAUCCGGUCAUCGGACAAAACUUCAGAAACGCUCAUUUUUUUUAGCAAAUCAAAAUCUACAAACACAAGUUUUUUGCCUUUUA